GAGUUUGAUCCUGGCUCAGGACGAACGCUGGCGGCGCGCCUAACACAUGCAAGUCGAACGAGCGAGAGAGAGAGCUUGCUUCCUCAAGCGAGUGGCGAACGGGUGAGUAACGCGUGAGGAACCUGCCUCAAAGAGGGGGACAACAGUUGGAAACGACUGCUAAUACCGCAUAAGCCCACGGCUCGGCAUCGAGCAGAGGGAAAAGGAGCAAUCCGCUUUGAGAUGGCCUCGCGUCCGAUUAGCUAGUUGGUGAGGUAACGGCCCACCAAGGCAACGAUCGGUAGCCGGACUGAGAGGUUGAACGGCCACAUUGGGACUGAGACACGGCCCAGACUCCUACGGGAGGCAGCAGUGGGGAAUAUUGCACAAUGGGGGAAACCCUGAUGCAGCGACGCCGCGUGAGCGAAGAAGUAUUUCGGUAUGUAAAGCUCUAUCAGCAGGGAAGAAAAUGACGGUACCUGACUAAGAAGCACCGGCUAACUACGUGCCAGCCGCCGCGGUAAUAC
rnacentral:rRNA from 1 species